rnacentral:rRNA from 1 species
UCUAAGGAGACUGCCGGUGGACAAACCGGAGGAAGGUGGGGAUGACGUCAAGUCAUCAUGGCCCUUACGGCCUGGGCUACACACGUGCUACAAUGGUCGGUACAAAGGGUUGCCAAGCCGCGAGGUGGAGCUAAUCCCAUAAAACCGAUCGUAGUCCGGAUCGCAGUCUGCAACUCGACUGCGUGAAGUCGGAAUCGCUAGUAAUCGUGAAUCAGAAUGUCACGGUGAAUACGUUCCCGGGCCUU